GACGAACGCUGGCGGCGUGCUUAACACAUGCAAGUCGAGCGAGGCCCUCCUUCGGGGGGUGCCCUAGCGGCGAACGGGUGAGUAACACGUGGGCAACCUGCCCUCAGCUCUGGGAUAACCCCAAGAAAUUGGGGCUAAUACCGGAUGUGACCGCUGACCGCAUGGUCUGGUGGGGGAAAGAUUCAUCGGCUGAGGAUGGGCCCGCGGCCUAUCAGCUUGUUGGUGGGGUAAUGGCCCACCAAGGCGACGACGGGUAGCCGGCCUGAGAGGAUGAUCAGCCACACUGGAACUGAGACACGGUCCAGACUCCUACGGGAGGCAGCAGUGGGGAAUAUUGCACAAUGGAGGAAACUCUGAUGCAGCAACGCCGCGUGAGUGAUGAAGGUCUUCGGAUUGUAAAGCUCUGUCUUCUGGGACGAUAAUGACGGUACCAGAGGAGGAAGCCACGGCUAACUACGUGCCAGCAGCCGCAGUAACAC
rnacentral:rRNA from 1 species